AAUUCCUUUGGAAGGAGGGGGGAGAUCCCUCGCAGAGAGGCUUUUGUAUUUUGUGGCCCAUGCCCGGUUUCCAGAGCAACCGUGGACGCCUCGGUUCCCUUAGAGGCAGGAGCAGAGACCAGAGGACAGCCAGUUGGCACCCGGAGCCCAGAUACCUGGGCCAAUGGGAAGUGGCGGGCCAGAGUUCCUGCGAGGCGAUCUGGAACGGAGGAGUACAGAGGUCUGGGCCAGUUGGAGCUCCCCUGGCUGGCCAUGGGGUGUAGAAGAAGCUGAGCCCAUUCCUGCCAAAACCCCUUCUGAAGGUUGUAGAGGGGACUUGGUGGCUGCCAGGUCCACAGAGGGGAGCGCCCUUUGUGGGACAGGAGGUCCUGGCACCGUACUGGCAGGACCAGCAGGGGCAGACCUGCUCACAGAUACCCUGCCUGGAAUGCAGUUGCUUCUCUGGGCCAGAGUUCCUGGGCUGGGGGUGGCCUGGUGACAGAGCAGUCCUGUGGCCCUGCCGACUGUCUUCAAGGUGGCUCAAGGCCGACGCCCUGUCUUGGCACCCCUCUGCCACUGCUGUUCUGCAUGCAGAGACCACCAUGGGCACUAGCCUCCUUCCUCGUCCUAGUUGUGGCCACUGGUGAGUACCUACUACUGUCCUGAGUCCCAGGGUUGGAUCAGAUGUACCCUUGACCCCUCACCGUAGGCCAGAAGCCCAGCCUCUUCAUCUAUAGGGUCACCUAGGGCAAGCCACUUGGGAAGAAUGCUGCGUAUGGCUAGUCCCUUCCCUGCCGAGUUCUGAGAUGCCACAGUCUGCCAUAGUGGAGAAGGGACUGGGCACUGGGGUCAGAGUUCAGGCUCUGGAGUCCUCCCCUUUCCCUUCAGACUCACAGCUCCUAAGGGUGCCACAAGUUCCUUCUCCUCAAGUUUGUCCCUCUCUAAACUCCUUACACACAUCACUUCCCCGAACUGAAGAAAGAGACAGGAUAAAGCUACAUCGCUCUCCUAAAUAAAUCUCUGCCCGCAGGGGGUUGAUGCGGCAGCAAAAAGGGAGCUGCCCGCAUCCCAGUCUCCCCUGCCUGUCAAGCUGAUGUCAGACUGGCCAGCUCCACCCUACUAAACUUCUGGAGCGGGAUUCCAAUGUGAGGAGGACGGCCACCCUCCCUGCUUCCAUACCACGGGACACCCUAGGGAAGUCCAGGCAGUGGGAAGCUGCUGAGAUUCCCAGGGGACACACGGCUAUUCUGUGCGUGGCUUCCCAGCAGCUACCAGCUGCCCCUGUGGCAGCUGGCUCGCCUGCCCAGCUAUGAGAGUAUUCGAAAGAAGACCCAGCAGCAGCAGGUUCACCAGCUGAUUGCACGGCGCUUCGGGAUCUGGGCCUGCAGAGAGGCGAAUGUUCGGCAUUCCUAACCUUGGGCACCUUGGACAACUGAGCUUUAGUUCAUAUUACUCUGAUACAUAAUGCCCAGUUAGAGCCCAGGAUGAGGAAGGGGUCACUGGUGGAGAGCCCCAGGCUUUGAGAGGAGGCCCCACUUCACGUCUUCGGGUGGAGGGAAGGAUGGCAGAACCCAGCCUGGGGGGGGGGGGGGGGUCCUGCCCUGGGAUUCAGAACAGGCUCCUGCCGAAGGGAUUCUGUGCAGCCAACAGCUCCACGACUCAGCUUGUCUCCAGGAAGGAACAUCGCUAGGGGAGAGGAGACACAGAAAGCUGAAGCCAAAAGAAAGGAAGUGUGUACAGGCGGGCGGAGAGGCUGGUGUGUCAGGGAAUGGCUAAAGCCUUUACGCUCCUAUCCCUCAGCUGUCACCAAGCUGAGGAGGCGAGGCCCUCAGGUCACUGCCUGCACCACGACCAAACUGCGGCUCUGCUCAUCCACCCCAUGAAGCGACACCUGCUCUGCUCAGGGAAACACCAGUUUCCCUGUGUAGGAGGUGUAGGAGGAACACCCUCUUCCAUCCUGCCCCUUUCUGCUUUUCCAGAGGACUGGCAGGGACGGUGCUGAGCCUACAGAGACACCUCCAGCCAUCUCCCCCAGCUGGGCCUUGGUACGUGACCCCCACAAGAAGGAAGCCAAAGUGAACCUCAACAAACCCUAGACCACCUCUGCCAAGGAUCUGCAGGAGGUGGAGAAUCUGGGGUCGUGUCCUGAGAAAAUAAGGUGACAAGUUCAAGGCAGACCUUCUUAGGUUGGGAGGCUUCUGUGCCCCGGUCCCUGAAGCUCCUGCCUGCAGGGCUGAGAGUCCUUGGAAGGAAGCCACUGGACUCUACAGGCCCUGCUGGGGCUGCAGCUCAAACUGCCCACCCCCAACAGCCAAGACAGCCCUCUGCCCCAGCUGAGACUCUUCCUGGCCUUGCCACUCGAAGCCAAGCGUCUAAGGUCUUGGGCUGGACUGACAGUGAAGGCCCCAGCCCACUCCAGGCCCAGAUUGAGUUCCUAAAGCCAGAUCCUUUGCUGUUUAUGGUUUGUGAUAGAUCAAGAACCAGAAAACGAUGUGAGGUGGGCGUGUCUUUCCCCAGGAGAUGGAAAGCAGCCCAUUUAUCACCCAUUCUGCUUCAUCACUGAAAGGACCUGGGUAUUCCAGGGUAGAUGGGGACUUUCUACGCUGGACCCACAGAGUCAGACAGGGGUUGGCCAUGUGGCCACUCCUGGGGCUGCAGCCCCAGCUCCCUCCAAAUAUGGCUCCAGGAGAGGACAUGACCAUGUUGCUUCCUUUACAGCCCCUCCCCCACACCCCCACCCCCCCAGGAUCCAGCCUGGGAUGGGUUCCUGGGGGAGAAGGAGCAGUAACACCCUCAAGCACAAGCUCUCCUCCUCCUUCCCCUCGGGGAGAUGGCUCUAAAGCAAUCCCUUCUCAAACACACUCCCCUCUUCUCUUUUCCUCACUCUGGC